AUUGAACGCUGGCGGCAUGCCUUACACAUGCAAGUCGAACGGCAGCACGGGAGCUUGCUCCUGGUGGCGAGUGGCGAACGGGUGAGUAAUACAUCGGAACGUACCCAGGAGUGGGGGAUAACGUAGCGAAAGUUACGCUAAUACCGCAUAUUCUGUGAGCAGGAAAGCGGGGGAUCGCAAGACCUCGCGAGCUUGGAGCGGCCGAUGUCGGAUUCACUAGUUGGUGAGGUAAAAGCUCACCAAGGCGACGAUCCGUAGCAGGUCUGAGAGGAUGAUCUGCCACACUGGGACUGAGACACGGCCCAGACUCCUACGGGAGGCAGCAGUGGGGAAUUUUGGACAAUGGGGGCAACCCUGAUCCAGCCAUGCCGCGUGAGUGAAGAAGGCCUUCGGGUUGUAAAGCUCUUUCGGCGGGGAAGAAAUGGCAACGGCUAAUAUCCGUUGUUGAUGACGGUACCCGCAUAAGAAGCACCGGCUAACUACGUGCCAGCAGCCGCAGUAA
rnacentral:rRNA from 1 species